rnacentral:rRNA from 1 species
UACGGAGGGCGCAAGCGUUGUUCGGAAUCACUGGGCGUAAAGCGCGUGUAGGCGGCUUGGCAAGUCGGGUGUGAAAUCCCGAGGCUCAACCUCGGAACUGCACUCGAAACUGCCUGGCUCGAGUCCCGGAGAGGGUGGCGGAAUUCCCGGUGUAGGGGUGAAAUCCGUAGAUAUCGGGAGGAACACCAGUGGCGAAGGCGGCCACCUGGACGGUGACUGACGCUGAGACGCGAAAGCGUGGGGAGCAAACAGG